UUUUUCUGUAGAUUGGACGCUGGCGGCAGGCCUAACACAUGCAAGUCGAGCGGUAGCACAGAGAGCUUGCUCUCGGGUGACGAGCGGCGGACGGGUGAGUAAUGUCUGGGAAACUGCCUGAUGGAGGGGGAUAACUACUGGAAACGGUAGCUAAUACCGCAUAAUGUCGCAAGACCAAAGUGGGGGACCUUCGGGCCUCAUGCCAUCAGAUGUGCCCAGAUGGGAUUAGCUAGUAGGUGGGGUAACGGCUCACCUAGGCGACGAUCCCUAGCUGGUCUGAGAGGAUGACCAGCCACACUGGAACUGAGACACGGUCCAGACUCCUACGGGAGGCAGCAGUGGGGAAUAUUGCACAAUGGGCGCAAGCCUGAUGCAGCCAUGCCGCGUGUGUGAAGAAGGCCUUCGGGUUGUAAAGCACUUUCAGCGGGGAGGAAGGCGUUAAGGUUAAUAACCUUGUCGAUUGACGUUACCCGCAGAAGAAGCACCGGCUAACUCCGUGCCAGCAGCCGCGGUAAUACGGAGGGUGCAAGCGUUAAUCGGAAUUACUGGGCGUAAAGCGCACGCAGGCGGUCUGUCAAGUCGGAUGUGAAAUCCCCGGGCUCAACCUGGGAACUGCAUUCGAAACUGGCAGGCUAGAGUCUUGUAGAGGGGGGUAGAAUUCCAGGUGUAGCGGUGAAAUGCGUAGAGAUCUGGAGGAAUACCGGUGGCGAAGGCGGCCCCCUGGACAAAGACUGACGCUCAGGUGCGAAAGCGUGGGGAGCAAACAGGAUUAGAUACCCUGGUAGUCCACGCCGUAAACGAUGUCGAUUUGGAGGUUGUGCCCUUGAGGCGUGGCUUCCGGAGCUAACGCGUUAAAUCGACCGCCUGGGGAGUACGGCCGCAAGGUUAAAACUCAAAUGAAUUGACGGGGGCCCGCACAAGCGGUGGAGCAUGUGGUUUAAUUCGAUGCAACGCGAAGAACCUUACCUGGUCUUGACAUCCACAGAACUUUCCAGAGAUGGAUUGGUGCCUUCGGGAACUGUGAGACAGGUGCUGCAUGGCUGUCGUCAGCUCGUGUUGUGAAAUGUUGGGUUAAGUCCCGCAACGAGCGCAACCCUUAUCCUUUGUUGCCAGCGGUCCGGCCGGGAACUCAAAGGAGACUGCCAGUGAUAAACUGGAGGAAGGUGGGGAUGACGUCAAGUCAUCAUGGCCCUUACGACCAGGGCUACACACGUGCUACAAUGGCAUAUACAAAGAGAAGCGACCUCGCGAGAGCAAGCGGACCUCAUAAAGUAUGUCGUAGUCCGGAUUGGAGUCUGCAACUCGACUCCAUGAAGUCGGAAUCGCUAGUAAUCGUAGAUCAGAAUGCUACGGUGAAUACGUUCCCGGGCCUUGUACACACCGCCCGUCACACCAUGGGAGUGGGUUGCAAAAGAAGUAGGUAGCUUAACCUUCGGGAGGGCGCUUACCACUUUGUGAUUCAUGACUGGGGUGAAGUA
rnacentral:rRNA from 1 species